rnacentral:rRNA from 1 species
UUAGAGGAAGUAAAAGUCGUAAACAAGGUCUCCGUUGGUGAACCAGCGGAGGGAUCAUUACCGAGUGUAAAAACUCCCAAACCAUUGUGAACCUACCACUGUUGCUUCGGCGGCCUCGCCCCGGGCGCGUUCGCGCGGCCCGGACCCAGGCGUCCGCCGGAGGCUCCAAACUCUUGUCUUUUAGUGUAUUUCUGAGUGGCAUAAGCAAAUAAAUCAAAACUUUCAGCAACGGAUCUCUUGGUUCUGGCAUCGAUGAAGAACGCAGCAAAAUGCGAUAAGUAAUGUGAAUUGCAGAAUUCAGUGAAUCAUCGAAUCUUUGAACGCACAUUGCGCCCGCCAGUAUUCUGGCGGGCAUGCCUGUCUGAGCGUCAUUUCAACCCUCAGGACCCGUUCGCGGGACCUGGCGUUGGGGAUCAGCCUGCCCCUGGCGGCGGCUGGCCCUGAAAUCCAGUGGCGGUUCCCUCGCGAACUCCUCCGUGCAGUAAUUAAACCUCUCGCGGCAGGAUAGCGGUUGAACCACGCCGUUAAACCCCCCACUUCUACAAGGUUGACCUCAGAUCAGGUA